AAAAUGGACAGCAAGGUGUGAAGAAGAAAGGCCCUGCGUUCCUUUAAGAUUCUUGCCUCAUGUCUGCAGCAUCAGAGAGCUGGAGAGCAUGAGAGCCUUGCUUCUCAAACUGCGUUCAACCAGAGUUUGAGGCACAAAGGGAGAGAUAAUAAUUCAGGGCACCUCAAGAUUUUCCCUUCAACCUCCGACCGAAUGGAGCCUUCGGUACCUCUGUGCCUAUUGGCCAUGCUGCAGGAAAGCUCAGUUAUGAAAUCUUCCACUCUGAGAUCUUGGCAGAUCAAAAACUAUACGGAGCAUUUGGUGAGGUACCAUUUAUGUGAGGCAGUCCCAAAUGUUUGGCACAUUUAUGGGAAGCAUCCUGAUGAAGGAUUUACAGUGGUUUCUUCUAACUGGGAUCACUCCUAGGUCUAGUACUAAUAAAGAGAAGAAGAUCGGAGCAGCUUUGACAUGAAUGGAUCCAUCUGGCCUGGUCUCCAUACAAGUUUCCUAUGAGUUUGGUCACAGACCCUUCAAGCAAUUGUUUAAAUGAGAAGAUGCUACAUUUUCAAGCAGAGACUGAUUCACUGUAGCUUAAUAAAUUUUUACUGAGCCCAUACUGUGUAUAUUUUGUCCUGAGCUUCAGAAACCAGGAAAUCCCAUUGGGUAAGGGGAGCCUGGUGCAGGGAUCAGCAGCCUGAAUGAAUUCUGCUAAACAACUUUCAUCUGGCUUUAGCUAUUUCUGUUGAGCUGUCAACACAGAUGUUGGGUUUUGCUCU
rnacentral:lncRNA from 1 species